AGCAGCCGCGGUAAUUCCAGCUCCAAUAGCGUAUAUUAAAGUUGUUGCAGUUAAAAAGCUCGUAGUUGAAUUUCGAGACCGGCUUACUGGUCGUGCUAUUGUACGUACUGGUAUAAUCGGUUUCUCCUUUCUGACGAACCAUAAUGCCAUUAAUUUGGUGUUAUAGGGAAUCAGGACUGUUACUUUGAAAAAAUUUAGAGUGUUUAAAGCAGGCUCACGCUUGAAUACAUUAGCAUGGAAUAACGGAAUAGGACGUUUGAUUCUAUUUUGUUGGUUUCUAGGAUCGACGUAAUGAUUAAUAGGGAUAGUUGGGGGCAUUAGUAUUCAAUUGUCAGAGGUGAAAUUCUUGGAUUUAUUGAAGACUAACUACUGCGAAAGCAUUUGCCAAGGAUGUUUUCAUUAAUCAAGAACGAAAGUUAGGGGAUCGAAGACGAUCAGAUACCGUCGUAGUCUUAACCAUAAACUAUGCCGACUAGGGAUCGGAUGAUGUUAAUUUUUUAAUGACUCAUUCGGCGCCUUA
rnacentral:rRNA from 1 species